UCUUCUUUCAUGGUACCAG
rnacentral:misc_RNA from 1 species